AUAAAACUUUUUGAUGUUCUCGUUGCUAAUUGCCGAGGUCCUCUUCCAGGAUUGGCUGCUCCCUCAUAACCAUAAGAUAAUUAAAACGAAGGGGGGCAGGGUUAAAAAAACUUUUUUAUCAGCCAGAGGUUAAUGCAAGUGUUUAACAGAUGCUUCACUAUUAAAAUAUUUUCCCCCCAAGUCUCAAAUAUUGAAGAAUCUCAAACCAGAGAGAGCCGCCCCCAGCGAAGACCUUGGCCGGUUUCGAGGUGUGGGCACCUCGGUUCCCCGAAUCUGUGGUGUGGCCGCUAUCGGUGUUCCCCUGGUUUAACUAGCCUGUUUGGACAAAGGAGAAAAGGAAUAGAAAGAAGUCUGAUGCCAAACAGAACGAAUAAUCCAAAGUGCUUGGUAUCUGAGUGGAUUUGUAAAUGCCGAAAUUACACACAUGUUCUUUCAGUCCAAAAAUGACAGAUGGGGAAAUUAAGGCAAAAAAGUCAAGAAAUUUACUCAAAGUCAUGAAGGUGAUAAAUGGUGGAGCUGGAAUAUGGGCACAAGCCACAGGACUUCAGAACCCAAGCCAUUGAACCAUUAGACAGAUGGAAACAAUGCACCUGGUGGAGCAAUUGUUUAGCUACUGCUUCUGACAAUGGGGAGAGAGGAUCUUGUUCUUUCUGUGGAGUGAUUGUCACAGCAUUUCAUGCACUGAAGUUGUCCUUAUUUAUGAAAUAUGCUUUGUUAUUUUCUUUCCCUUCAUGUUGUACUUGAUAUAAUCUUCUGUUCCUUCCUAUUCUUCUCUUCUUUCCUUCAAAAUAGCUUGACUUUUUGUGAUUCUGUAAUUCUGAGAGAAAGGAUGAUAAAAGUCUUGUAAGUUUCAGAAGAAAACAAAUUUUCUAUCAUUUAUGCAACAUUGUUUCCUGGAAGCUCCUCAGAUACUUUCUUUUCUUUUCUUUUUUUAAAUAAAGAUUUAUUUAUUUGAAAGAGUUACACACAGAGAGAAGGAGAGGCAGAGAGAGAGAGAGAGAGAGAGACAGAGAGAGAGAGAGGUCUUCCAUCUGCUGGUUCAUUCCCUAAUUGGCUGCAAUGGCCGGAGCUGCGCCGAUCCAAAGCCAGGAGCCAGGAGCUUCUUCUGGGUCUCCCACGUGGGUGCAGGGGCCCAAGGACUUGGGCCAUCCUCUACUGUUUUCCAAGACCACACCAGAGAGCUAGAUUGGAAGUGGAGCAGCUGGCACUGCAGGCGGUGGCUUUACCCUCUAUGCCACAGCCCCGGCCCCACCUUGUUUUCUAUCAGAAUGAGAUCUAAUACUAUGGAAGUAUUAUCUCAGCAUGCUAAGACUGCACCUACUCAAUACACCUUUAAAAAAAAAAAACACCCUGGGGAGAGCCAGCGUUGAGGCACAAUGGGUUGAGGCUCUUCUGUGAUGCCAGCAUUCCAAAUGGGCACUGGUUCAACCCCAGCAGCUCUGCUUCAGCUCCCUGCUAAUGCCUGGGAAAGCAGUGGAAAAUGACCCAAGUCCUGCCAUAUGGGGGCCCCUGCCACCCAUAUGGGAGACCUGGAUGGAGCUCUGUGUUCCUGGCUUCCGUUUGAACUAGCCCUGGCCUUUGGGACAAUUUGGAGAGUGAACCAGCAAAUGUAAGAUCUCUUUUUCUCCUCAUCUCUGUAACUCUGCCUUUUAAAUAAAUAAAUAAACCCUAAAAACAAACAAACACACAAAAAAACAAAACCCUGGAGGUAUAACAAUGUUUAUUUCCUUUUUUUUUCUUAGCAAGCUGAAUUCCUGUGGAUAAUUAUAUAAUGUAACUGGGCAUUACAUUCCUUAGCACUUUACAUGCACAAGGAAGUUCAGGUUUUUCCUCUUUUAGAAUGUUUUGCCUUUUUCUCUUUCCUGAAGGAGCUGGAUAUUCAUCGAUGUGUUUAGUGUCCUUAAAUCCUAGAAAAGCACACAUAUGAAAAUGUAGGCUUUUUUGGUCUUGUAAUCAAACUCCCUCUUUGUUGUUCUUUCUUAGUGCUCUUCAUCAACAAAAUAGCCAGCAUGGGCCUGAGGAGAAUCUCAUAAUCUAGAUUUCUGGGAGGUUUGAGAAGACAUAUCACUGUUGAAACAGAAUCUUUUUUGUUUUCUUCUAGGAGGGAAUGGUUUUCAGGGAGAGCAAGGACACAUAUGGAAGAUUUUAGCUUGUCUCUGGUGCUACAUGCACCCAUUCAGGACUCCACCAAGAGGCCAGUGCAUGGGAUUAGGCAUCAGAGAUAGGAUGUCAGUCACUUUAAUUUUUUUCUUUGAGUCACAUAUGAGAAAUAAUUUACCAGCACUGACCAAUAUUAUUAACAAAGAGAUGGGGAUAUAAUUUUGUUUUUCCUGUGGCUGUGCCUAAAAUAGAACAUCCAACUCUUCUCUUGGAUGAUUUAAUCUCUUGUAUGGAAAAGGUGAGAUGGUAAAUCUGUUAAAAUAAGUUUCUACUCCUAUGCUCCAUUCUAAGGCUGAAUUCUUCAGCUCCCUCUAUUGACCGAAUUCAAUUAGUUAUUUUAGUAAUGCUGUUUUUACCAAUGUUCGGAUCAAGAUGCCAAUCUCAUUGAUUAAAAAAUACAAAGACAUUUUUGGUUUUCCACUGGAUAAUUGAUGAAUUAUUUAAGACCUAUCAACCCACUACUCCCACUUACCCCAACAUUAAGUACCUGCUAGGCAUCUCUGGGAUUCUGUAAUAAAUAAAGCCUUCUUUGCCUCUUUCUUUUUCCAAAUAUAAUUUUCUUCAUUUCCAAACAUCAUCUUUUAUUUAUUUAUUUAUUUUUUUUAUUUUUUUGACAGGCAGAGUGGACAGUGAGAGAGAGAGACAGAGAGAAAGGUCUUCCUUUGCCGUUGGUUCACCCUCCAAUGGCCGCCGCGGCUGGCGCGCUGUGGCAGGCGCACCGCGCUGAUCCGAUGGCAGGAGCCAGGUACUUCUCCUGGUCUCCCAUGGGGUGCAGGGCCCAAGCACUUGGGCCAUCCUCCACUGCACUCCCUGGCCACAGCAGAGAGCUGGCCUGGAAGAGGGGCAACCGGGACAGAAUCCGGCGCCCCGACCGGGACUAGAACCCGGUGUGCCGGCGCCGCUAGGCGGAGGAUUAGCCUAGUGAGCCGCGGCGCCGGCCUCAAACAUCAUCUUUUAAAUUCAAGGAAAUGGUGCCUUACUACAUCUCAAAGCUUUUGGUAUCCACAUCAGAAAAUAAAUUAUUUUUAGGAAAGUAAUCUCAACAUUAUUUAUAAAUGGGCUCUCUCUCAGAAUCAAUCUUAGUUCAUAUCAGGGACUUCCAUGUUUGAAACACAGCAUGAAUAAUUCUUCUCUGAGGCUCCUGAAAGGCUAGGAGUGAGGUUUCUUGACCUGUUACUCCCUCAACCUCUUCUCUCACUCUCCUCUCUCCUUCUUAGAAGCAGUGGACAGCAGUGGGCUACAAAACUGAUUUUCACUGGUGCCUGGUGGAACCUUAAUUCCUGCCUGUCAGCACAUCCCUAGUCCACUCUCAGACUUUGGAUAAGGACUGGAUAAGCAGUUGAACUUCUGGGUACUUUUCCAAAUGAAAUCCAACCUCUAGACCUUUGGGGGUUUACCCAGCCUUCCUCACUACUUCAAGAUGAGUUUGGAAUGAAUUUUCUCUUAAUGGAUUCUAUUUGUGGGUGGCAGAGGUAAUGACUACAUUGUUCAGAGUCAUGAAUAUAACUUCAAAUAAGGGAAAAGAGCCCUGCAGGAAUGUGAGAAUAGAUGUGAUCCCAAGGAAGGUGUGCCUGAGGAGGUGCUGGGAGAAUCCGAUAGGCUGUUGAAUGGAAAUACUGUAUCUCACAUGACAGAAGUCACCUUUUGACAUUAAAGUUGUGUUUGAGGGUGAUUUAAAAAAUAAUAUAGCUGACAGAAGUAUUACUUUGUGAUACAAUAAAAUGAAUAUACAACAUUCAAGAUCAAUUACUGAGGACUUAUUCGCUGGGAGAAUGAUGAUAAGACAUUAAAAAUAAAAUUUGUAGACAUAGCACCCUGUCUAAGUGGGACUAUGCCUUCUGCUGCUUUAUUGAAAAGAAUUAUUUUUUGUAGAAAAUUCUAUUGAAUUAUAUGACUCAUGUGUCUGACUCUAAAACUGUAAAUGUUGUAAGAAUUGAAAUAUAACAAUUUAAAAAUACCAAGAUAUCUUUUAGAAUUCUCAUUUUUAGCACAGCUAUUUUUCCAUUAAAAUAAAUCAUCCAUUUCUGUUUGUACAAGUUCCUACUCUCAUACGUGUGAAGGCUAUGGUAAAGUAUACCAGGCUACCAGAUACCUUCCCUGCUUCACUAUAAUUAUGCCUCUAUUUCAUACUCCACGUUUUAUGCCUAGGUCUCAGAUAUAUGUUCAGCAUGCUGUAUCUUCAUGUGCUUGUUUUGGUAAUAGUUUAAAUAAUGGAUUCCUUUGGGCAAACUCUAUACUUUGAAAAUGAAACUUAUUUCCCUUAACAGAAAAGUAUGAUCAACACAUUUGUGAUCAAAAUGAACAUAAAUGUGAUCUCCUUUGGCAAGAAUUAUUUAUUUGAAAGGCAGAGAGAAAGGGAGGGAGAGAGAGAGGAGAAAGAGAAGUGAAUCUACAUCUGUUGGUUCACUCCUGAAAUGCUUGCAGUAGUCAGGGCUGAGCUAGGCUGAAGCUAAGAGCUGGAAAUUCAGUCUAGGUCUUCUAUGUUGGUGGUGGGAGCCCAACUACUUCAGUUAUCAACUGCUGCCUCCUUUACUGUGCAUUAGCAGGAAACUGGAAUUGGUAGCAGACCUAAGACUUGAACCGAAGAACUCUGACAUAGGAUAUGGGUGUCCUAAGCAGCACUUUAAACACUAAACCAAAUACCUACCCCUCCUUUGGUGAGAAACAAGCAAUUAUGCAACAAUCUAGCUUAUGUACUCAGUGCAGUUAUCAAGAGGUAGAUUUAAUCUUACCACCAGGAAUGUUCUCUUCUAGACAGGAAUGAAUACAAGACAAAUGGAUGGUAGAAUACUGUUAUAGAUGGUGGCGUAAGGUAAGUGUCAAUUAUGUGACAUUGAUGUGUAUAUCUCCAGGAGGAGUAGAUGAUAUUCAGGGAGGACAGGUAGAUAAGCAAUAGGACUUGAUCCAAGGCUUGAACAGAAGAUGGAUAGAGAGGAGAGUAGAUGAUUCAGGCAGUAGGGUAGAUUUUACUUUUGUUUGCAAUUAUUAUUUUUAAAAAAGAUUUAUUUAUUUGAUUUGAAAGGCAGAGUUACAGAGAGGGAGAGGCAAUGGCAGAGAGAAAGAAAGAGAAAGAGGGAGAGAGAGAAAGAGAGAGAGGGAGAGAAAAAGAAAGAGUUCUUCUAUCCUCUGGUUCACUCCCCAAAUGGCUGUGACAGCUGAAGGUUGGCCAGUCUGAAGCCAGGAUCCAGAAGCUUCUUCCGGGUCUCCCAUGUGGGUGCAGGAGCCUAAGGACUUGGAGCAUUUUCCACUGCCCUCCCAGGCACAUUAACAGAGAGCUCGAUUGGAAGUGGAGCAGCUAGGAAUCGAACCAGCACCCAUGUGGGAUGCUGGCACUACAGGUGGUGGCUUAACCCACUACAUCACAGCACUGGCCCCUGUUUGCAAUUAUUAUCCUCUGUCCUUCCCUGUAAAAGGAUUAUAAACCCUUGCUAGUUGCAAUGUGAUUUUUAAUGUAUGUGGAGAAGUACAUGGUUAUUUUCUUGGUCCAUUAAUAUUGGGACUAACUAUAUGUGUUUUGCUCUGACCAAAUAUGAGUGAACCUGAUGCAUGUCAUAUCACUGUAGAAGCUUUAAAUGUGACUGCAUGUUUUAUUUCUGCACUAUACCAAAAGUAGAGUAUGUUUUAGCUAGUGGAAGCUUCUUGGGUAUGGGUUCCAAAUAGAACAGAGUUGGAACACGAGGCUUGGCUCAAACUGACUAACAAUCUACACAAAGUGUGAAUGACAAAGAAAUAUUUGCUGUUACAUUCGUUGCAAUUUUGAGGUUGUUACUGCAGCUCAGCUGACUAAUACUGGCACAAAACACAGCUUGAGUAAAUGAAUGAGGAUGUAGAAAGUUACAUUUUUGAGAGACAGUAAAAAAAGCCUAAUUUGGCUCAAGCAAGCAAGGGAUUUGUGAAAGAGAGGAGUAAAAAUGGAGGUAGAGAUAGAUAUAGAUAGAGAUAGAACGUGAUUAGACUACAUCUUGGAAGUCUUGAAUAGCAUAUAAGAACAUUGAUCUUAUUAUCUAGGCAGUGGGAAAACAUUAAAGACUUUAAGCCUGGAGUGAAGGAACAAAGGGAGAAUUUGAGGAAUAUUUGUCCAACAGCAGUGUUAUGAUAAAGUGGAAAGUGGGAAAUAAACCAACACUUAACACAUGUGCUUUAAAAAGAUUUCUGAUGAAAAAAUGAUUUUGGUAGGAGAAGGUGCAAUUCAGACACUAAAAUACAAGGAAAAAACUCUAGUAAGCCAAACAACUUUUUAAAAAAGAUUAUUUAUUACACACACACACACAGAGAAAUGAGACACACACACACAGAGGGGAGAGAGAGAGGGGGAGAGAGAGAGAGAGAGAGAGAGAGAGGAAAUCUCCCAUCCUUUGGUUCUGGUUCAUUCCCCAAAUGGCUGCAAUGGCUGGGGCUGGUCCAGGCUGAAGCUUGAAGCCAGGAGCUUUUUCCAGGUCUCCCACGUGGAUGCAGGAGCCCAAGUACUUGGGUCAUCUGCUGCUUUGCCAGGUCAUCAACAGGGAGCUGGAUGGGAAGUGGAGCAGCAGGGACUUGAACCCAGCUUGAACAGAAGGGAUGCUGGAUUCUAUAUGGGAUGCUGGCACUGCAAGCAGUGGCUUAACCCACUGUGUAAAGAGCCAGCUCCAAAUCAAACAACUUUAAAAUAAAAAAAAUUGAUAUGACCAUGAUAACACAUACAUAUGUGUUUUAGGCUGAGGAAGCAGAGCAACCUGCUGGGAGUUGUUGACAUCCUUUUCCAUCUGGAACUUUAUGUAACCACACUAAAUGCCUGAGGUCAAAGCCUUAAAGGACUUCAUAAUUCAACUUUAUCCCUUUCCUAUGAACCGACACUCCAACUAAUGUGCAAUCUUUUCCUUUGGCCUAAAGAUGCACUAUUACUGUUCAACUCAUUGUGGUAAGAACCUUGUGAAGAGAAUAUUAAAGGCACUGCCAAUUCAUAAACUUGUGAUUAGCUUAUAAUUGUCAUACAUAGAAUCUAUAAAAUUUCAACAUGGUGGAUUUUCCUCACGUUUAUAAGUGGAAAGUGUUAUUGGCGGUAAGUGGAAGCCUGUAUGGUAUUGCAUGUAAUAGGAAAUUUAUCUUCUUUCUAUUUUGCUUCAUACUUCACCUACUUUGAGCCCACCUAUGAAUGUCAUUUGUAACAGGACAGUUGUUUUGCAUGGAGUCUAUGAACUCUUUUCCUAGAGAAUGUGUCAUUUGACAAUUAGUUCAUUGAGGGUGGUUAGUAGAGGCCUAUGCCAACAAUAGCACAUAGCCAAGAAGGUCCUCUGAAUAUUAGAAUCCUCAUCUGCCUCCAGACACAAAUUUGUUCCAUUUCUAAUUCUUCAAUAUAAUUUUCUUGGUUGAAAUCAGACAUUUUUAUUCACCUUAAUUCACCUUAAUCAUAGUAUUUCCCUCAAAUCUCACAAAGCCCAGCAUGUUACUGCUGUUCUGAAAGUCUCCUGCAUUGUGAGUGACAUGUUUAAUGAAUUGGAAGUGUCUGUGCACAUUGCAUUUGCUUAAAAAGGGAAACUCCUUUUAAACAGCCAUAGCUACAGAAAUUCAAUUUAGUUUAGUUAGGAGGAAAUGAGAGACUUGAAUUGUAGGUGUGGAGUCUUACAAUCUUUCAGAACGAUAAAAGCAUGGUUUGGGGGAUGGUUGGAACCACAAGGAAUUUCUCUUCAGCUAGCAUUACUUUUGUGAGCACAUUCCCAAACUCAUGAUCAUGUUUAGAUAAGAAAAAUCUCUUUCUCCAUGAGUUCUCAGGUCCCACUCAUUGGCCCCCUGCCCCCAAUUCUGGAACCUAUGUCAGGCUGUUAUGUGGCUUAGCUCUUGGUGAUAUGUUUUCAAUUUGAGUCAACUUGAUGAGAGAGAAAUUACUAAAAAGUGGGAAUGAGCUGUGAGGUGAAUAGGGUUUUCCUAUCAAAGUGGGGGUAUUUUUAAAAGCAUUUAUUAUUUCAAACUAAAACAUUUAUAGAAAGCCAUGAGUGUGAAGUGUAUGAUUACCAGUUGUGGCUUUGCUGUAUUGAAAAUUCAAGUUCAUAGGAAAUAUUUACUGAGGCUCUGGCUAGCAAGCAGUUGUUCAAGGGAGCAAUUUUGUUUAGAACGCAUGUCAGUUUAAACCAAUAGUUUGCUAGCAUAAUAGUUACAGGCAAUUUGGAUUCAUAAAUGUUACCAUGACUGAGACAUCACUAGGAAUCUUAUAACCAAUUCUAAAUGCAUCUAUGUUCUUACACAUGAGAUGAAUAUCAAAGUGAGAAAACCACUUCUCCAAUUUCAAUAUUUUAUGGGCUCUGAUGUAAUUCACUUAUUUUUCAGUAUUAAAAAUGAUUAAUAUGAUUUUUGGCAUGUUUAUUCCAUAGGAAAGGAACAUUUGACUUCUAAGUGAAAAGUCUGGCUUUGUGGAUUAAAGAGAUGUUAUAUAGCUAAAUUUACUUUCUUGUAAGAGGUAAAUUUUGUGUGAUAUUCUCUGGAAAACUAUUUGAAACACGUAAAAUUCUCUUGUGUGAAUUCUGGAGAUGCAAGGGAAAUAUAUUUAAUCACAUUAGGUAAGAACAUGCCUUUUUCUGUGACUUCUUAGUAAACUCAAAGUAUUUUUUCUCACUUGAUUAUAUGUCAUGGGGUACAUUGCACAGCUAUGUAAUUACCAAGGACUUUGGUCAUCCUCCACUGUUUUCCCAGGUACACCAGCAGGGAGCUGGAUUGGAAAUGGAGCAGCCAGGACUCCAACCAGUGCCUAUAUAGGAUGCUGAUUUGUAGGAGGUGGCUUAAUCUAUUAUGCCACAAGCUAAACCCAUCAUGCAAAAUUUUAUAUGUGUACAUGUGCAUGUGUAUAAAAAGAGAGAUGUGUUGAAUCUUGUUAAUUGUUAACUCUGGGAGGUGGGUUUUUGAGUGGUUAUUAUUUUCUUAUUACAGUUUUUUUGGUACUUAAUUUUCUUUUAUUAUUGUGAAAAUAUUUGAAAUACAUGUGAAAGAAGAUAUGUAUAGCUUAAAAAUGAUAAUGUAAUAAAUAUCCAUUACCUAGCUAAGAACAUGCUAUUUUGCUGCCUUAGAAGGUGAGCCUUCCUUCUGCCCUGCCUCUGUCAUGGAGAUAACUACUUGCUUGAAAUUUAUGCUAAUUGCUUCUUUGCUUUCUUACAUAGUUUAGCUACUUAUGAAUGUAUCCAUAAAUUAUAUGUAAUUUUAUUAUGAAUUUUUGAAUGUAAAAUAAAUGAAAUCAUACCGCAUCUAUUCUUUGAUGACUGUCUUUUUUCUUUGUUUAUUGUUUUUGAAAUUCAUCCAUGUUAAUGUGUGUGUCUGAUUUUUUUUCUGUAAGUAGAAAACAUAACUCCAACCACACAUAAAAAGUUAAUGAUGUUAUAGUCAUUUUGAAAAAGCAAACCUCAUAUGUGCAACUAAAAAGUAUAUGUGGGAGCACCAUUGUGGGUAGCAGAUUAAGCUGCUGUUUGCAGUUGUUGGCAUCCAAUAUUGGAAUGAUGGUUGAGUCUUGGUCACUUUGCUUCUGAUCCAACUCCCUGCUAAUGCACUUGGGAAAGCACCAGAAGAUGGUCCAAGUAUUUGGAUUGCUGCCAUUUAUGUGGCAGACCUGGAUGGAGUUCCAGGCUUCUGGCUUCAGCCUGGUCCAAUCCCUGCCUUUUUGACAACUUGGUGAGUGAACCAGUAGAUGGAAGAUUCUCUCCCUCUUUCUCUCUCCCUUUUAAGUAAGUAAGUAGGUAAGUAAGUAAAUAAAUAAAUAAAGUUUUAAAAAACUGCUGGAAAAGUGCUUUUCAGAAGGGAAUUUUUUUGUUCAUCCAUGUGUAUCCACAUAUGGACAGCAGAUAGCUACUCUGAGAAUAUGAUUUUAGGAGACACUGGCUGCACACCAAAAGAAAGAAAUGUCUCUCUUUCCUGCCCCUGAUGAUUAGUCGCUGUGUCUGAAAUUCAACCAUUUGCUAUUUCCCUGUGAAUUUUAAGGAUUAUCUCACAAAAAGAAAAUUGAGUCAUUGGCCAGUACUGGGCUUUAGUACUUAGAAGGCAAAGAGCAGGUCUUGAAAGGCAGAGGAAAGGAGAAUUUUAGAGCUUGAGAUAUCUGGAGGUCAGCGUGACACUGAAAUGAAAGCUCACAAUAUCCAGGAUGUGCGGUCAUCCAUGGAGGAGUGGAUAAGGAAGACGUGCUACCUAUAUACACCAGAAUAUUAUUCAGCCUUAAAAAGAAGGAAACAGUUCUGUCCUUUGCGACAAUAUGGAUGAACCUGGAGGGCAUUGGGCUGCAAAUGUUGCUGCUGUUUUGGAGUUCUAUGCUUCCUGGAAUACUGUGUGGGAGCAAAUUAAAAAAUCGGAGUCACCUGACUAAUUGUUUUCUUACACUUUAAACCCAGGAGAUGACUAAAUAGGUGAUAAAGUCUUUUACAUCGUGGAUGGAUGUCCACCACCACACAGUCACUGCCCAUCUCACUUCAUCAUUGCUUGGGGCUCUCAGCUGCACUUCAUCAUAUAUCAUCGCCUUUGAGCCUGCCCUGGUCACGCCACCUCGCACUUCAUCACUUCUUGCAUUCUUUGUAAGCUCUCAGUCUGGUUACAGGAAUUGUUUGUGUUGUCUACUAAUUCAUUAUUUAAAGCAAAUAUAAAUUAAUCAAACUUUGUUGGUAUCUGGUACAGUUCAUUUUAAUUGAUGAAAACAGUGACUAUUUAGUUGUUCAUCAUCAAAAAGGAGUAAGUCAUGAUAAAAUGCAGUCAAGAAGAUGUUAUGGGCUAUUAUGUAGUUUCUGGGCUUUAUUCUUGUCUAUACUGAUUUUGUGAUACUGAACAGGCAAUCUAUCUCUGGGGACUUUUAUUACAUUAAACCAAAAGAAAUAAAGAUACCGUGGAAUGCUCUGUUGAGGGGGUCAACAUUAUGAGUUGAUCAUGAAGCCCCUGAUGAUGCUAACUUCAGCAAGUGAUUACUUUGAGUGCAUUUCAUUUUUUGUUGUUGUUGGCAGCAUCUCAAUCCUAAACAACUUUGACCUGAACAGGUCGAACGUUUGUGAAGUAAGCUGGACAUCUGAAAAAAAAUCUCUAUUCAAAAUUAAAAGUACUAUUGUUCUAUGGUUUCCUAUUGAUUUAGAUAGAUUUUUAUGAGUCAAUUAUGCUUUCAAGUUUUCUAAUGCAAAGUUAACAGCAAUAUAUUUUUAUUAUAUGAUGGAAAUGACCAUGGCAAAUAUAAUUUUUCACAGUAAUCACAUUUUAUUCAUUCUCAUGUAUUGUGAAGAGCAAUUUCUCAUUUUUUUGCUGUAAUGAUCUCAAAUACCAAAGUAGAUUUUCUAUCAUUCUAAGUGCAGUAGAAUAAAACACUGUAUAUUUAAAAGUUUAUCAUUUGGAUGAGCAUUGUGAUACAGCAGACUAAGUUAAGUUACCAUGUGCUACACAU